ensembl:lncRNA
CAGACCACGGUUUGUCAGUGCAUCCUUUAUUUGUAAUUCAAAUAAUUCAGCAAUCUAUUCAGAUUAUGCUGCAUGUGGUCCGAUACAUUAUUUCUUAUGGAAAUAUAUGAGCGUGAUAAUGAUUCUUCACUUGUGCAGCUUCAUGCCACACUCAGGAGAAAGCAAGAGGAAACAUCUGCCCUGAAGAAGACAAAUGCCCAGCUGAGAAAUCUGGCUACACAAUACUAGAUCUUUAACUAACUCCACCACUGACACAGAAAGGCUGACAGGGCUUAAGCGGCGGCUCUGGUCCAGAUGUGCAUCAGGUUCCAAGCAGCCCAGGCUUGAAAAUGAACUUGGACAGAUAGACUUGGAGCAUCUGAAGGCCCAGCUGGACCCGGAUGAACG